rnacentral:rRNA from 1 species
AUGGCGACCGGCCAGGCCGAUCUCAUCAGCAACCUCCCCGACGACGUGCUUGGCACCAUCAUCUCCCUUCUUCACACCAGGGACGGCUGCCGCACGCAGGCGCUCUCCCGCCGAUGGCGCCCCAUCUGGCGCGCGGCGCCGCUCAACCUGGAAGGCGGUGGCUCUCGGUUGCGCGAGCAGACCGUCUCCGGCAUCCUGUCCGGCCACCUCGGUCCUGUACGCCGCAUCUCCAUCUUUAUGAUCAAAUCCCUCCCCCGCCGCUACGACCUCUGGACGGGGCACCCGAUCGUCGACGACACCGGCGAUGCCAGGGUCGACAGCUGGCUCGGCUCCCGGGACCUUGCACAUCUCGAGGAGCUCCGGCUCAGCUACGAAUACAACACUCACAACAGUACCCUGCCACCGUCCGUGUUCAGCUCUGCGCCCGCACUCCGCGUGGCCUCUUUCGGCCGCUGCCGUCUGCCGCCCAACCUGGCCGUGGACUUCCCGCUCCUCCAGCAGCUCACCCUGUGGAUGGUCACCCUAACCCAGGAGGCUCUGAACGCCGUGCUCUCCGGAUGCCCUGCGUUGGAGAGUCUUGGGAUGACCGAGAUUAGGGGUGUUGUCUGCCUCCGCAUCCGGUCCCGGACUCUCAGGAGCAUCGGCUUCCGUCACUCUAGCUAUGUACCUUCCCAAGAGCUGGUCAUCGAGGACGCCCCUUGCCUUGAGAGGGCAAGGUUGCAGCCAUUUGGCACAGAUAAUAGUGUGGUCACCUUCCGGGUAAUCCAUGCUCCUAAAUUGGAGAUGUUUUCUCAGCUAAUGAACACAGUUAGGUUGACAACCACAAUGCACACGGUGAAGAUUUUAGAACUUGAAGGUGUCGGUGAUGAUUUGGACCCGGUGCUUGACUUAAGCUUCCUCAAAUUCUUCCCCUGCCUCGAGAGGCUUUAUAUUUAUACCGUCUCCGCCAUCCUCUCCACCCACCUUGGCCCCGUCCGCCGCAUCUCGGUCAGCAUCGCCCCCCUCCCCUACCGUUACGACCGCCGCACGGGAUGCAAGAUCCUCGACGACGAUGCAUAUGAUGCCAGGGUCGAUGGCUGGUUCCGCUCCCGGGGAAUCGCCUACCUUGAGGAGCUCUGGCUCGUCUACCAAUACCACAGCAAUGGCAAUGACGUGAUACCGCCGUCGGUGCUCCGCCAUGCGCCCGCACUCCACGUGGCCACGUUCGGUAGCUGUCGUCUGCCGCCCAACCUAGUCGUGGACUUCCCGCUGCUCGAGCAGCUUACCUUGUGCAAGGUCAUCCUAACGGAGGAGGCUCUGAACGCCGUACUCUCUGGCUGCCCUGCGCUGGAGAGUCUUCUGCUAGACAGCAAUGUGGGCACUGCCAUCAUCCGCAUCAACUCCCCGGCUCUGAGGUGCAUCGGCUUCAGUGCUCCUUGGGACAAUCGAGUAGUCUCUUCCCCCGGUAUUGUGGUAGUGCAAGAGCUGGUUAUGGAAGACACCCCUUGCCUCGAGAGGUUGCUGCCACUCAAUCCACACAAUGGGCCGGCAACCAUCCGGGUAAUCCGGGCUCCUAAGCUACAAAUAUUGGUGAAGCUUUUGGCUCUUGAUUGUUCUGGCCUUGAUUUCCACGCAGUUCUUGACUUCGUCAAAUGCUUUCCCUGCUUGGAGAUGUUGUAUAUCCUUUUGGAUCAACGGAAGUUUAUCGAAGAGUUAGGUGAAACGAUCCUGGACGAAGCGGGCGAUGCCCGGGUCGACGGCUGGUUCUCCUCCCGGGUUCUCGCGCACCUCGAGGAGCUCCGGAUCGACUACAGCCACGACAGGAACGGCAACGACGUGUCGAUGUUGCCACCAUCUGUGUUCCAGCACGCGCCCACGCUCCAGGUGGCCAUGUACGGCCGCAGCUGUCUGCCAGUGCCACCCAACCUAGCCGUGGACUUUCGGCUCCUCCGGCAGCUCACGCUAUACAGGGUAACCCUAGCGGAGGAGGCUCUCAGCGCCGUACUGUCUGGCUGCCCUGUGUUGGAAAGCCUUCUCCUGGCUGAGAAUGUGGGCUCUGCCAGCCUCCGCGUCAACUCUCCGGCUCUCAAGAGCAUCGGCUUUUGUGCUCCUUAUUACUCUCACCUUGUCAAAGUCCAAGAGCUGGUCAUCGAGGAUGCACCUUCCGUCGAGAGGUUGCUGUCGCUCAAUCCCAACGGCCGCGCGCCCGCCGCUCCUCGUCUCGCGCCGCUACCCGCCCCCGCCCCGGCCCCGGUGCCGGCAACGAAGCCGUCCCCGCCCACCAGGUCCGGGAUCCCGCCGCGAUACGACCUCGACGCCAAGUGGGACGCCUGCCUCGACCUCUCCAUCCGCCGCGUCGCCUACUCCUCCCUCGCCGGCGCCUUCGGAGGCCUCAUCGUCUUCUGUAAGCCCCCAACCCCUCCGCCUCACCUCUCCAUUCCCCUCGCUGCAUCACGAGAUCUGUUCGCCGUGCCUCCGUGGGUAUCUCAUGAUCUAGGGUUGCGCGAAAAUAAUGCUCGUGUUCCAUCUCGAUUGGCCUAA